UACGUAGGGUGCAAGCGUUGUCCGGAAUUAUUGGGCGUAAAGAGCUCGUAGGCGGUUUGUCGCGUCUGCCGUGAAAGUCCGGGGCUCAACUCCGGAUCUGCGGUGGGUACGGGCAGACUAGAGUGAUGUAGGGGAGACUGGAAUUCCUGGUGUAGCGGUGAAAUGCGCAGAUAUCAGGAGGAACACCGGUGGCGAAGGCGGCCUGCUGGGCAGUUUAGCUGACACUGAGGCGCGACAGCGUGGGGAGCAAACAGG
rnacentral:rRNA from 1 species